rnacentral:misc_RNA from 1 species
AAGUCGUAACAAGGUUUCCGUAGGUGAACCUGCGGAAGGAUCAUUAACACGUAUCCACGUUUAUCCACCCAUGCGAACUUGUUUUCACCCCCUUCUCCCUUCUAUUGAAACAUGAAUUGAGUUUACUAAUGAGAGAUUUUGAUUGGGAUGCGUAUUUCUAUGCAUCGGUCUCUUGUUGGUCCUUUGGUCAAACAAAGCAAUUGUAGUUUUUAUAUGGAAGGCAAACCCUUCUUGCGGUUUUGAUCUCCAUUCAAGAUCGAGGCUGUAGGAUCCCACUCAUAUUUUAUUCACCCAUUUAACCACCCUUUUUGCUAGUUGACUUUUUUAAUUUGUGAUACGAAGCAAUUUGUUUCACACGUUUAUAAUAUAUUAUUUGAACGUUAAAAUCAUACAACUCUUAGCAAUGGAUAUCUAGGUUCUC